GCCGGGCAUGGUGGUGCACGCCUGUAAUUCCAUCGGCUUGGGAAGCUGAGGCAGGGGGAUCACAAGUUCAAAGCCAGCCUCAGCAAAGCAAGGCCCUAAGCAACUCAGUGAGACCCUGUCUCUA
rnacentral:sRNA from 1 species